UACGGAGGGUGCGAGCGUUGCUCGGAAUUACUGGGCGUAAAGCGUACGCAGGCUGUUCUGUAAGUCGGGUGUGAAAGCCCGGGGCUCAACCUGGGAACCGCGCUUGAGACUGGCACGCUAGAGUUCGGGAGAGGAUGGUGGAAUUCCCAGUGUAGAGGUGAAAUUCGUAGAUAUUGGGAAGAACACCGAUGGCGAAGGCAGCCAUCUGGACCGACACUGACGCUGAGGCGCGAAAGCGUGGGGAGCAAACAGG
rnacentral:rRNA from 1 species